rnacentral:rRNA from 1 species
CAUGCAAGUCGAGCGGAGACAGUGAGUAGCUUGCUAUGAGCUGUUUUAGCGGCGGACGGGUGAGUAACGCGUGAGCAACCUUUCCCAGACAGGGGAAUAACACACCGAAAGGUGUACUAAUACCGCAUAAGACCACGGGAUCACAUGGUUCUGGGGUAAAAGAUUUAUCGGUUUGGGGUGGGCUCGCGUCCGAUUAGGUAGUUGGUGAGGUAACGGCCCACCAAGCCGACGAUCGGUAGCCGACCUGAGAGGGUGAUCGGCCACAUUGGGACUGAGACACGGCCCAAACUCCUACGGGAGGCAGCAGUGGGGAAUAUUGGGCAAUGGGGGGAACCCUGACCCAGCAACGCCGCGUGGAGGAAGAAGGUUUUCGGAUCGUAAACUCCUGUCCUUGGAGACGAGUAGAAGACGGUAUCCAAGGAGGAAGCCCCGGCUAACUACGUGCCAGCAGCCGCGGUAAUACGUAGGGGGCAAGCGUUGUCCGGAAUAAUUGGGCGUAAAGGGCGCGUAGGCGGCUCGGUAAGUCUGGAGUGAAAGUCCUGCUUUUAAGGUGGGAAUUGCUUUGGAUACUGUCGGGCUUGAGUGCAGGAGAGGUUAGUGGAAUUCCCAGUGUAGCGGUGAAAUGCGUAGAGAUUGGGAGGAACACCAGUGGCGAAGGCGACUAACUGGACUGUAACUGACGCUGAGGCGCGAAAGUGUGGGGAGCAAACAGGAUUAGAUACCCUGGUAGUCCACACUGUAAACGAUGAAUGCUAGGUGUAGGGGGUAUCGACCCCUUCUGUGCCGCAGUCAACACAAUAAGCAUUCCGCCUGGGGAGUACGGCCGCAAGGUUGAAACUCAAAGGAAUUGACGGGGGCCCGCACAAGCAGCGGAGCAUGUGGUUUAAUUCGACGCAACGCGAA